GCACCCCACAACAGCUUUCAAGCCACUGGAAUGGUUUAGGUAGUAAACCAACUCCUUUCUAUGUCAAUGAAACCUGGGGCAUCAUGCAUGCCAGCCAACACUCGUUAUAUCCCAAGCUUCCUUUUUAUUUAACCUUUAAAAUUAUAUUACUAAAAUAAAUGCCAUCUUGAUAAUACACUUAUUUUAAUACAGAAAAGAGAAGAUGAUGAGGAAGAAGAAGGUAGCAUUGUUAACGGCUCCACUACUGAAGACGAAGAGCAAACCAGAUCAGGAGCCCCAUGGUUCAAAAAGCCACUAAGAAAUACCUCAGUUGUAGACAGUGAGCCAGUGAGAUUCACUGUGAAAGUGACAGGAGAACCCAAGCCAGAAGUUACGUGGUGGUUUGAAGGAGAACUACUGCAGGAUGGAGAAGACUAUCAGUACAUCGAAAGAGGAGAAACUUACUGCCUGUAUUUACCAGAAACUUUCCCCGAAGAUGGAGGAGAAUAUAUGUGUAAAGCAGUCAACAGUAAAGGCUCAGCAGCGAGUACCUGUAUUCUUACCAUUGAAAUGGAUGACUACUAGGCUUCCUUCUUUACUUGGAUCUCACUCUCUCCAACUCUCUUGAUACAUCUCUGAGGAGGGGCCAAAAAGGAGACCAGAGGCGCCACUCUGUUGACUUAAUCUUUUCCCACAUCUUCCAAAUAGCUCAUCUAAAGAACACCAUUUCCAAUGCCUAUCAGUUUUAUUACCAUGCUGUGCAAAGUCAAAAUGCAGCUGACAGAAAAGGGAAAUAAAUGUACACAUUCUGCCAUAACCUAAAACAAAAGCUUUAUAUUUUCCCUAUUUAUAGCAUAGUUUGCAUGAAUAGAUUUUAUAACUAGCCACUGAUUGACAAUUAAAGUGGAAUGAUUAGUAGAUUUGAAAAAUGCGAUUUUGAUUUAAAUUUCUAGCUUUAAAAAUAAGUUUGUAAAUGUCAAGUGUUGUGUUGCAGGCCUUAAUCCCAGCACACAGGAGGCAGCAAGGUCUACAGGGCAGCCAGAAUUACAUAGUUGAGACCCUGUUACCCUGGUUCCUAUAACAACACAUGUCUGUAAAUAAAAGCCUAUUAUGUUCUAAUAUUGGGUGGUUUUAUAUUUAAUUUUCUGGAAAACGUGUUGUGAAACCAUAAUAAAGUUACCUGUGCAUUAAA
rnacentral:lncRNA from 1 species